rnacentral:lncRNA from 1 species
AGAAAGAUGUGGGUUUGAGUAUCACAUUGAAGAGAGGGUUUGUUGAGGUAUAUUUAAGAAUGCGCACUCCCAUACAAUAUUGUCUAAGUACAUACAAUAUAGUCUAAGUAAAAAGGAGAGAAUAAAGCUCUGCAUGUACAGAGCACGUGAAGCAUGCAACAUGCACGUGCGAGGGUGCAAGGGAGCUUGAUGCCACAUGCUCGCCACAUGCGAGGGUGCCAGGGUGCUUGAUGCCACACGCUUGCCACAUGCGAUUGCAUGAGGCGACGCCCCUCACCCAACAGUCAUCAAGUGUAUACAUGAGGCGACGCCUCUCACCCAGCAGUCAUCAAGUGUAUGCAUGAGGCGACGCCCCUCACCCAGCAGUCAUCAAGUGUAUGUAACUCGUGUAACUUGUAGUUGUUUUGGGGUACAUGUAAAACACAUGUAACUCCUCUUGGCCGUCUUAAAGACAUGUAACUCCUCUUGGCCGUCUUAAAGACAUGUAACUCCUCUUGGCCUUCUAUAAUAA